rnacentral:rRNA from 1 species
UACGUAGGGGGCUAGCGUUGUCCGGAUUUAUUGGGCGUAAAGAGCGUGUAGGCGGCCAGGUAGGUCUGCUGUGAAACUCGAGGCUCAACCUCGAGACGUCGGCGGAAACCAUCUGGCUAGAGUCCGGAAGAGGAGAGUGGAAUUCCUGGUGUAGCGGUGAAAUGCGCAGAUAUCAGGAAGAACACCCGUGGCGAAGGCGGCUCUCUGGGACGGUACUGACGCUGAGACGCGAAGCGUGGGGAGCGAACAGG